CUGCUUGCUUUGGUGCACAUCUCCUCAAAUUGGAAUGGUACAGAGAUUAGCGUGGCCACUGCGCAAGGAUGACACACAAAUUCAUGAAGAAUUUGCCAGCAAA
ensembl:snRNA U6 U6 spliceosomal RNA